rnacentral:misc_RNA from 1 species
AAGUCGUAACAAGGUUUCCGUAGGUGAACCUGCGGAAGGAUCAUUAUCAUAACGUAUCCACGUAUAAACCAACUUUUUAAUGAUGUGAAACGUAACUGUUUUUAACACCUCGAGGUAUUCGGAUGAUUGCUGUACUACAUUGUUUGCGUGAUUAAAGCAAAAACGGUAGUAUGGACUUGUCGAAGUAACAUUCGGCUAGCUCUGAAUAUUUGGAGUGUAAAAAUUUAAUCAAUUAUUAACCCAUUGAACCGAAUAAAUUUUAUUCUUAACUGAGUAAGUUAUUCAUUUUAAUUCUAUUGUGUGAACUGAAUUGUUACUUACUUGAAUCAGCCGUAAUUGGUUUUGAUGAGAGAAGUGAUUAUAUUUACGAAACAUAUAAAUUAUUAUUGAACAACUCUUAGCAACGGAUAUCUUGGUUCUC